rnacentral:rRNA from 1 species
GCGGGGAUGAGGUGUGGGUAGCGGAGAAAUUCCAAUCGAACUUGGAGAUAGCUGGUUCUCUCCGAAAUAGCUUUAGGGCUAGCCUCGAGGUAAAGAGUCAUGGAGGUAGAGCACUGUUUGGACUAGGGGCCCUUCUCGGGUUACCGAAUUCAGAUAAACUCCGAAUGCCAUGUACUUAUACUCGGGAGUCAGACUGCGAGUGAUAAGAUCCGUAGUCGAAAGGGAAACAGCCCAGACCACCAGUUAAGGUCCCCAAAUAUAUGUUAAGUGGAAAAGGAUGUGGGGUUGCUUAGACAACCAGGAUGUUGGCUUAGAAGCAGCCACCAUUGAAAGAGUGCGUAAUAGCUCACUGGUCGAGUGACCCCGCGCCGAAAAUGUACCGGGGCUAAACAUAUUACCGAAACUGUGGAUGAACCUCUUUAGAGGUUCGUGGUAGGAGAGCGUUCUAAGGGCGGUGAAGUCAGACCGGAAGGACUGGUGGAGCGCUUAGAAGUGAGAAUGCCGGUAUGAGUAGCGAAAGAAGGGUGAGAAUCCCUUCCACCGAAUAUCUAAGGUUUCCUGAGGAAGGCUCGUCCGCUCAGGGUUAGUCGGGACCUAAGCCGAGGCCGAUAGGCGUAGGCGAUGGACAACAGGUAGAGAUUCCUGUACCAGUGCUAAUUGUUUAACCGAUGGGGUGACACAGAAGGAUAGGGAAUCGCACGAAUGGAAAUGUGCGUCCAAGCAGUGAGUGUGAGAAGUAGGCAAAUCCGCUUCUCGCGAAGCAUGAGCUGUGAUGGGGAAGGAAAUUAAGUACGGAAGUUCCUGAUUUCACGCUGUCAAGAAAAGCCUCUAGGAAGAGUAGUACUGCCCGUACCGCAAACCGACACAGGUAGAUGAGGAGAGAAUCCUAAGGUGAGCGAGAGAACUCUCGUUAAGGAACUCGGCAAAAUGACCCCGUAACUUCGGGAGAAGGGGUGCUCUAUUAGGGUGCAAGCCCGAGAGAGCCGCAGUGAAUAGGCCCAGGCGACUGUUUAGCAAAAACACAGG